rnacentral:rRNA from 1 species
UACGGAGGUGGCAAGCGUUGCUCGGAAUCACUGGGCGUAAAGGGCGCGUAGGCGGGGAGGUAAGUCGGGUGUGAAAUCCCGCGGCCCAACCGAGGAACUGCGCCCGAGACUGCUUCUCUUGAGUCCCGGAGAGGAAGAUGGAAUUCCCGGUGUAGCGGUGAAAUGUGUAGAGAUCGGGAGGAACACCGGUGGCGAAGGCGGUCUUCUGGACGGUGACUGACGCUGAGGCGCGAAAGCUAGGGGAGCAAACGGG